CCUACGGGAGGCUGCAGUGAGGAAUAUUGGUCAAUGGGCGCGAGCCUGAACCAGCCAAGUCGCGUGAGGGAGGACGGCCCUCCGGGUUGUAAACCCCUUUUGCCGGGGAGCAACGGGCGUCACGUGUGGCGCCACUGAGAGUACCCGGAGAAAAAGCAUCGGCUAACUCCGUGCCAGCAGCCGCGGUAAUACGGAGGAUGCGAGCGUUAUCCGGAUUUAUUGGGUUAAAAGGGUGCGUAGGCGGACCGUUAAGUCAGUGGUCAAAUUGAGGGGCUCAACCCCUUCCCGCCAUUGAAACUGGCGUUCUUGAGUGGAAGAGAAGUAUGCGGAAUGCGUGGUGUAGCGGUGAAAUGCAUAGAUAUCACGCAGAACCCCGAUUGCGAAGGCAGCAUGCCGGCUUCCGACUGACGCUGAAGCACGAAAGCGUGGGGAUCGAACAGGAUUAGAUACCCCAGUAGUC
rnacentral:rRNA from 1 species